UACAGUUAAACCUGCGGAUGUGGAUAUUGCCA
rnacentral:piRNA from 1 species